AAGGAUCAUUACCAAAAAGCGAGAAAUCGUUUUUGACUGCCUGCUUGGUGGCCUUCGGGUCGCUGACUGGUCAACCCUUUGUGAACCAAAAAACCUUUCGCUUCGGUAGCUGGGCUUGAUUGCCUGUCAGCCUGCCGUUAGCACCAACCUUUAAACCUGUUGUCAAACAUUGUCUGAUAACCAAAUUUUCGAAUGAAAAUUAAAACUUUCAACAACGGAUCUCUUGGUUCCC
rnacentral:misc_RNA from 1 species